rnacentral:rRNA from 1 species
CGAAGGAUCCUAGCGUUGUCCGGAUUUACUGGGUUUAAAGGGUGCGUAGGCGGACUUUUAAGUCAGUGGUGAAAGCUUGCAGCUUAACUGUAAAAUUGCCAUUGAAACUGAGAGUCUCGAGUACGGUUGAGGUAGCUGGAAUGUAUCAUGUAGCGGUGAAAUGCUUAGAUAUGAUACAGAACACCAAUUGCGAAGGCAGGCUACUAAACCGUAACUGACGCUGAGGCACGAAAGCGUGGGGAUCAAACAGGAUUAGAUACCCUGGUAGUCCACGCCCUAAACUUUGCAUACUCGGCCUUAGCGAUAUACUGUUAGGACCCAAGCGAAAGCGUUAAGUAUGCCACCUGGGAAGUACGAUCGCAAGGUUG